AUGUCCUACAAAGUGCAGAGUGAUCAUUUAGGAAACAUAAGCCAGCAUGGAAAAAAAAUAUGUUCUAGCUGCAAUUAUUUUCAAGGGAGUUGGGUUGUUGAUAAUCAUUACCCGCUCUAUGAUGCAGCUCGUUGUCCAUUCACAAAACAAGAUUUUAAUCGCCAGAAGAGUGGUAGACCUGCAGAUAUGGAAUAUCUGAAAUACAUAUGGAAGCCCAAUAGUUGUCUCAUCCCAAGUUUUGAUGCUCGUGAAUUCUUGAUGAGGCAAAGAGGCAAAAAGAUCAUGUUUGUGGGGGACUCCUUAAGUUACAAUAUGUGGCAGUCGUUGACGUGCAAGCUUUAUACUGCAGCACCAAAUUCUAAUUACACCUACAACACUGAGAGUCAACUCUACACAGUGUCCUUUCUGGAAUAUGGAGUAUCAGUUAUGUUCUUGAGAAAUGAAUUCCUAGUCGACCUGGUUGAUACAAAAAUAGGUAGAGUUCUAAAGCUUGAUUCCCUCAGUACUGGCAACCCAUGGAAAAUAGCAGACGUGUUGAACUUCAACACCAAUCACUGGUGGACUCACACUGGGCGCGCUCAAACAUGGGAUUACUUCCAAGUUGGCCAAAAAAUUUUCAAAGAGAUGAAUCGAACGCAGGCUUACAAGAUAGGGUUAAGUACUUGGGCUAAAUGGAUCUACGCCAACAUUAAUCCUUUGAACACACAAGUUUUCUACCAAGGAGUUUCUGCUGUUCAUUAUUAUGACAAAGAAUUGGACCUGAAUGCAAAAAAUUGCCAAGGACAAACACAAGUGUUUGGAGCAACGUUUCCAGGCCCCAGUAGCAGUACUGGUACUCCAGGAAAAGCCGUGGUAAAAAAACGUACUGCGUAUUGCUGCGAAGCCUGUCGAUUUGCUUGACAUUAUGUUGCUUACACAACUAAGGAAAGAUGGUCAUCCUGUGGUUAUGGAGGCAGUGCAUCUCUGUGGACUGUAG